GAUGAACGCUGGCGGCGUGCCUAAUACAUGCAAGUCGAGCGAACAGACGAGGAGCUUGCUCCUCUGACGUUAGCGGCGGACGGGUGAGUAACACGUGGAUAACCUACCUAUAAGACUGGGAUAACUUCGGGAAACCGGAGCUAAUACCGGAUAAUAUAUUGAACCGCAUGGUUCAAUAGUGAAAGACGGUUUUGCUGUCACUUAUAGAUGGAUCCGCGCCGCAUUAGCUAGUUGGUAAGGUAACGGCUUACCAAGGCAACGAUGCGUAGCCGACCUGAGAGGGUGAUCGGCCACACUGGAACUGAGACACGGUCCAGACUCCUACGGGAGGCAGCAGUAGGGAAUCUUCCGCAAUGGGCGAAAGCCUGACGGAGCAACGCCGCGUGAGUGAUGAAGGUCUUCGGAUCGUAAAACUCUGUUAUUAGGGAAGAACAAAUGUGUAAGUAACUAUGCACGUCUUGACGAUACCUAAUCAGAAAGCCACGGCUAACUACGU
rnacentral:rRNA from 1 species